UACGGGGGGGGCAAGCGUUGUUCGGAAUUACUGGGCGUAAAGGGCUCGUAGGCGGACCUGCAAGUCGGGGGUGAAAUCCUGGAGCUCAACUCCAGAACUGCCUUUGAUACUGGGAGUCUUGAGUUCGGGAGAGGUGAGUGAAACUGCGAGUGUAGAGGUGAAAUUCGUAGAUAUUCGCAAGAACACCAGUGGCGAAGGCGGCUCACUGGCCCGAUACUGACGCUGAGGUGCGAAAGCGUGGGGAGCAAACAGG
rnacentral:rRNA from 1 species